rnacentral:rRNA from 1 species
UUCAGCAUACGGAAUGGUAGGAGAGCGUCGUAUGAGGGGUGAAGUCAGAGCGGAAGCGCUGGUGGACUUCAUACGAGUGAGAAUGCCGGAAUGAGUAGCGAGAAUUAUGUGAGAAUCAUAAUGGCCGAAAGUCUAAGGUUUUUGAAGGAAGGUUCGUCCGCUUCAAGAUAGCCGGGAGCUAAGGCGAGGCCGAAAGGCGUAGUCGAUGCACAUACGGUUGAUAUUCCGUAGCCGUCCGAAGAUUUAAGCAAGGGGACACUUUGAAAGCGCAUGACCCGGGCGAUGGUAGCCCCGGGCGAAAGGGACUGAAAUUCAAGUAGGGAAGCAUGCGUGGACGAAGGCGAGAAAAGCCUUGUGUAUAUCGAGGAUGCCCGUACCGCAAACCGACACAGGUAGACAGGAAGAGGAUUCUAAGGCCAACGGGAGAAGGGUAGUUAAGGAACUCGGCAAAUUGACCCCGUAACUUCGGGAAAAGGGGUGCUCUGGAAACAGAGCCGCAGUGAAUAGGCCCAGGCAACUGUUUAGCAAAAACACAGGUCUCUGCAAAAUCGAAAGAUGAAGUAUAGGGGCUGACACCUGCCCAGUGCUGGAAGGUUAAGAGGAGGGGUGCAAGCUCCGAAUCGAAGCCCCAGUGAACGGCGGCCGUAACGAUAACGGUCCUAAGGUAGCGAAAUUCCUUGUCGGGUAAGUUCCGACUCGCACGAAUGGUGUAAUGAUCUGGGCACUGUCUCAACUACCCGCCCGGCGAAAUUGUAGUACCGGUGAAGAUGCCGGUUACCCGCGACAAGACGGAAAGACCCCAUGGAGCUUCACUGCAGCUUAAUACUGGGUUUCGAUAUUUUAUGUACAGGAUAGGCGGGAGACUAGGAAGCAGAGGCGCCAGCCUUUGUGGAGUCUACCUUGGGAUACCGCUCUUAAAGUAUUGGAAUUCUAACCUGCGGCCAUGAAUCUGGCCGGGGGACAUUGUUAGGCGGGCAGUUUGACUGGGGCGGUCGCCUCCAAAAGAGUAACGGAGGCGCUCAAAGGUUCGCUCAGCACGGACGGAAACCGUGCCUUAGAGUGUAAACGCAUAAGCGAGCCUAACUGCGAGACCGACGGGUCGAGCAGUAACGAAAGUUGGAGUUAGUGAUCCGGCGGUAUGAGAGUGGAAUUGCCGUCGCUCAACGGAUAAAAGCUACCCUGGGGAUAACAGGCUGAUCUCCCCCAAGAGUCCACAUCGACGGGGAGGUUUGGCACCUCGAUGUCGGCUCAUCACAUCCUGGGGCUGUAGUAGGUCCCAAGGGUUCGGCUGUUCGCCGAUUAAAGUGGUACGCGAGCUGGGUUCAGAACGUCGUGAGACAGUUCGGUCCCUAUCUGUCGCGGGCGCAGGAUAUUUGAAGGGCUCUGUCCUUAGUACGAGAGGACCGGGAUGGACGUACCUCUGGUGCACCAGUUGUCACGCCAGUGGCACAGCUGGGCAGCUAAGUACGGUGCGGAUAAACGCUGAAAGCAUCUAAGCGUGAAGCCGACCCUAAGAUAAGAUAUCCCACUGAGUAAUCAGGUAAGGUCCCAGGAAGACUACCUGGUAGAUAGGCUGCAUGUGUAAGAGCAGCGAUGUUUUUAGCUUGGCAGUACUAAUAGACCGAGGGCUUGAUCAA